AUGAACGCUAGCGACAGGCUUAACACAUGCAAGUCGAGGGGCAGCACAGGUAGCAAUACCGGGUGGCGACCGGCGCACGGGUGAGUAACGCGUAUGCAACUUGCCUAUCAGAGGGGGAUAACCCGGCGAAAGUCGGACUAAUACCGCAUGAAGCAGGGAUCCCGCAUGGGAAUAUUUGCUAAAGAUUCAUCGCUGAUAGAUAGGCAUGCGUUCCAUUAGGCAGUUGGCGGGGUAACGGCCCACCAAACCGACGAUGGAUAGGGGUUCUGAGAGGAAGGUCCCCCACAUUGGUACUGAGACACGGACCAAACUCCUACGGGAGGCAGCAGUGAGGAAUAUUGGUCAAUGGCCGAGAGGCUGAACCAGCCAAGUCGCGUGAGGGAUGAAGGUUCUAUGGAUCGUAAACCUCUUUUAUAAGGGAAUAAAGUGCGGGACGUGUCCCGUUUUGUAUGUACCUUAUGAAUAAGGAUCGGCUAACUCCGUGCCAGCAGCCGCGGUAAUACGGAGGAUCCGAGCGUUAUCCGGAUUUAUUGGGUUUAAAGGGUGCGUAGGCGGCCUUUUAAGUCAGCGGUGAAAGUCUGUGGCUCAACCAUAGAAUUGCCGUUGAAACUGGGAGGCUUGAGUAUGUUUGAGGCAGGCGGAAUGCGUGGUGUAGCGGUGAAAUGCUUAGAUAUCACGCAGAACCCCGAUUGCGAAGGCAGCCUGCCAAGCCAUUACUGACGCUGAUGCACGAAAGCGUGGGGAUCAAACAGGAUUAGAUACCCUGGUAGUCCACGCAGUAAACGAUGAUCACUAGCUGUUUGCGAUACACUGUAAGCGGCACAGCGAAAGCGUUAAGUGAUCCACCUGGGGAGUACGCCGGCAACGGUGAAACUCAAAGGAAUUGACGGGGGCCCGCACAAGCGGAGGAACAUGUGGUUUAAUUCGAUGAUACGCGAGGAACCUUACCCGGGUUUGAACGCAUUUUGACAGCUCUGGAAACAGAGCCUCUAGCAAUAGCGAUUUGCGAGGUGCUGCAUGGUUGUCGUCAGCUCGUGCCGUGAGGUGUCGGCUUAAGUGCCAUAACGAGCGCAACCCUUGCCACUAGUUACUAACAGGUAAAGCUGAGGACUCUGGUGGGACUGCCAGCGUAAGCUGCGAGGAAGGCGGGGAUGACGUCAAAUCAGCACGGCCCUUACAUCCGGGGCGACACACGUGUUACAAUGGCGUGGACAAAGGGAGGCCACCUGGCGACAGGGAGCGAAUCCCCAAACCACGUCUCAGUUCGGAUCGGAGUCUGCAACCCGACUCCGUGAAGCUGGAUUCGCUAGUAAUCGCGCAUCAGCCAUGGCGCGGUGAAUACGUUCCCGGGCCUUGUACACACCGCCCGUCAAGCCAUGGGAGCCGGGGGUACCUGAAGUCCGUAACCGAAAGGAUCGGCCUAGGGUAAAACUGGUGACUGGGGCU
rnacentral:rRNA from 1 species